GACGAACGCUGGCGGCGUGCUUAACACAUGCAAGUCGAACGGAAAGGCCCUGCUUUUGUGGGGUGCUCGAGUGGCGAACGGGUGAGUAACACGUGAGUAACCUGCCCUUGACUUUGGGAUAACUUCAGGAAACUGGGGCUAAUACCGGAUAGGAGCUCCUGCUGCAUGGUGGGGGUUGGAAAGUUUCGGCGGUUGGGGAUGGACUCGCGGCUUAUCAGCUUGUUGGUGGGGUAGUGGCUUACCAAGGCUUUGACGGGUAGCCGGCCUGAGAGGGUGACCGGCCACAUUGGGACUGAGAUACGGCCCAGACUCCUACGGGAGGCAGCAGUGGGGAAUAUUGCACAAUGGGCGGAAGCCUGAUGCAGCAACGCCGCGUGCGGGAUGACGGCCUUCGGGUUGUAAACCGCUUUCGCCUGUGACGAAGCGUAAGUGACGGCAAUGGGUAAAGAAGCACCGGCUAACUACGUG
rnacentral:rRNA from 1 species